rnacentral:rRNA from 1 species
GACGAACGCUGGCGGCAUGCCUAACACAUGCAAGUCGAACGAGACGUUCGGGUCUAGUGGCGCACGGGUGCGUACCGCGGGGGAAUCUGCCCGUGGGUUCGGAAUAACAGUUGGAAACGACUGCUAAUACCGGAUGAUGACGUAAGUCCAAAGAUUUAUCGCCCAAGGAUGAGGGCGCGUAGGAUUAGCUAGUUGGUGAGGUAAAGGCUCACCAAGGCGACGAUCCUUAGCUGGUCGGAGAGGAUGACAAGCCACGCUGGGACUGAGACACGGACCAGAAUCCUACGGGAGGGAGCAGAGGGGAAUAUUGGACGAGGGGGGAAAGCCUGACCCAGCAAUGCCGGGUGAGUGAGGAAGGCCUUAGUGUUGUAAAGCUGUUUUACCCGGGAUGAUAAUGACAGUACCGGGAGAAUAAGCUCCGGCUAACUACGUG